rnacentral:rRNA from 1 species
UCCUACGGGAGGCAGCAGUGGGGAAUAUUGGACAAUGGACCAAAAGUCUGAUCCAGCAAUUCUGUGUGCACGAUGACGGUCUUAGGAUUGUAAAGUGCUUUCAAUCGGGAAAAAGAAAGUGAUGGUACCGAUAGAAGAAGCGACGGCUAAAUACGUGCCAGCAGCCGCGGUAAUACGUAUGUCGCAAGCGUUAUCCGGAUUUAUUGGGCGUAAAGCGCGUCUAGGCGGUCUGGUAAGUCUGAUGUGGAAAUGCGGGGCUCAACUCCGUAUUGCGUUGGAAACUGCCAGACUAGAGUACUGGAGAGGUGGGCGGAACUACAAGUGUAGAGGUGAAAUUCGUAGAUAUUUGUAGGAAUGCCGAUAGAGAAGUCAGCUCACUGGACAGAUACUGACGCUGAAGCGCGAAAGCAUGGGGAGCAAACAGGAUUAGAUACCCUGGUAGUCC